UAGUCUGUACUGCUCUCUAUUCUACAGCGCGGUUAAUGUCUGUUAGAGAACCUAUAUACACGCUCUCUAGUCUCUAACCAGUAGCGUUCGCGGUGGAUCGUCGUGUAAUACCAGCUUACAUAGUGACAGUGUACUACUGUCGUCAUUUAUAUCUUUUCAGCUGGGGUCGUGGAGUAAGCGAAGGUGUAACGUAUUGUGAUUACAGAGAACACCUCGAAAGUAGCUAGAGGUUGAUGAGGUAGACAACAGUGUGUCGUAUGAAAGUGUUCCUGCAGCAUCUUCCACCACUAAUAUUGCAGAAGUCCAAGAAGAUUGUGGGGGGCCUCUGGACAUUGAAAGAAGUGUUUGUGUGUGUGCCACGUGAUAUGCUACUGCCAGGUCCAGUGUCAUACCAGAUUCAAAGGUUGUUUCGGAUUAAGUACAAAUGUAAUAUUGCCUUUUCUGCAAAUAACAACUUGAGAAAAAAAUGUCAUCCAUAAUUUAAAGUCUGCAGAAUUCUGGUGUCUACAAGAUUUCAUGUGACACAUUGCAGUGCCUAUUAUAUUGGUCAAACAGGACGUGCCUUUUCAGUUUGCUGUAAAGAACAUUUUCUGAGGGAAAACGGUUCGUGUGCCCCUAAUUCUUCUUAAGCUAAUGUGCAAGUGUGUCUUAAUUGUGCCGGUCUGCAAUGUAAUGUGUAAUCUUUAUGGUGAGUAGCACUCUUCUCUGUACAUUGUUGGAAUACCAACCUGGAGUUCCUAUUGUUUGAAAUAAUUACAAAAGUUAUUUAUGAAGAGCUAAACAAUAAAAUGUUGUGAAAAUUGAA